GCCCGGAUGGCGGAAUUGGUAGACGCGCUAGCUUCAGGUGCUAGUCUCCGCAAGGAGGUGGGGGUUCGAGUCCCCCUUCGGGCA
rnacentral:tRNA from 1 species